GAAUACGGCGAUACUGAUCCCUUGGGGGUGGCUCCGGAAGACAGAAUCUGGUCGCAUUCGAUGGGGUCACCAGAAAAAGAUUUGUGGAAUUCGAUUCAUGGCCAAUAUUCGGUUGGGACAUACACUGCGGCUUC
rnacentral:ribozyme from 17 species